UUAAGCGACUAAGCGUACACGGUGGAUGCCCUGGCAGUCAGAGGCGAUGAAGGACGUGCUAAUCUGCGAAAAGCGCCGGCGAGGUGAUAUGAACCUUUGACCCGGCGAUGUCCGAAUGGGGAAACCCAGUGCAAUCCGUUGCACUAUCGUUAACUGAAUACAUAGGUUAACGAGGCGAACCGGGGGAACUGAAACAUCUAAGUACCCCGAGGAAAAGAAAUCAACCGAGAUUCCCCCAGUAGCGGCGAGCGAACGGGGAGCAGCCCGGAGUCUGAAUCAGCUUGUGUGUUAGUGGAACGGUCUGGAAAGUCCGACGGUACAGGGUGAUAGUCCCGUACACGAAAGCACACUUGCUGUGAACUCGAAGAGUAGGGCGGGACACGUGGUAUCCUGUCUGAAUAUGGGGGGACCAUCCUCCAAGGCUAAAUACUCCUGACUGACCGAUAGUGAACCAGUACCGUGAGGGAAAGGCGAAAAGAACCCCGGCGAGGGGAGUGAAAAAGAACCUGAAACCGUGUACGUACAAGCAGUGGGAGCCUCUUUAUGGGGUGACUGCGUACCUUUUGUAUAAUGGGUCAGCGACUUAUAUUCUGUAGCAAGGUUAACCGUAUAGGGGAGCCGAAGGGAAACCGAGUCUUAACUGGGCGUUAAGUUGCAGGGUAUAGACCCGAAACCCGGUGAUCUAGCCAUGGGCAGGUUGAAGGUUGGGUAACACUAACUGGAGGACCGAACCGACUAAUGUUGAAAAAUUAGCGGAUGACCUGUGGCUGGGGGUGAAAGGCCAAUCAAACCGGGAGAUAGCUGGUUCUCCCCGAAAGCUAUUUAGGUAGCGCCUCGUGAACUCAUCUUCGGGGGUAGAGCACUGUUUCGGCUAGGGGGCCAUCCCGGCUUACCAACCCGAUGCAAACUACGAAUACCGAAGAAUGUUAUCACGGGAGACACACGGCGGGUGCUAACGUCCGUCGUGAAGAGGGAAACAACCCAGACCGCCAGCUAAGGUCCCAAAGUCAUGGUUAAGUGGGAAACGAUGUGGGAAGGCACAGACAGCCAGGAUGUUGGCUUAGAAGCAGCCAUCAUUUAAAGAAAGCGUAAUAGCUCACUGGUCGAGUCGGCCUGCGCGGAAGAUGUAACGGGGCUAAACCAUGCACCGAAGCUGCGGCAGCGACACUAUGUGUUGUUGGGUAGGGGAGCGUUCUGUAAGCCGUUGAAGGUGUGCUGUGAGGCAUGCUGGAGGUAUCAGAAGUGCGAAUGCUGACAUAAGUAACGAUAAAGCGGGUGAAAAGCCCGCUCGCCGGAAGACCAAGGGUUCCUGUCCAACGUUAAUCGGGGCAGGGUGAGUCGACCCCUAAGGCGAGGCCGAAAGGCGUAGUCGAUGGGAAACAGGUUAAUAUUCCUGUACUUGGUGUUACUGCGAAGGGGGGACGGAGAAGGCUAUGUCAGCCGGGCGACGGUUGUCCCGGUUUAAGCAUGUAGGCGGAGGUUCCAGGUAAAUCCGGUACCUUUUAACGCUGAGGUGUGAUGACGAGGCACUACGGUGCUGAAGUGAUAAAUGCCCUGCUUCCAGGAAAAGCCUCUAAGCAUCAGGUAACACGAAAUCGUACCCCAAACCGACACAGGUGGUCAGGUAGAGAAUACCAAGGCGCUUGAGAGAACUCGGGUGAAGGAACUAGGCAAAAUGGUGCCGUAACUUCGGGAGAAGGCACGCUGAUGUGUAGGUGAAGCCCCUGCGGGUGGAGCUGAAAUCAGUCGAAGAUACCAGCUGGCUGCAACUGUUUAUUAAAAACACAGCACUGUGCAAACACGAAAGUGGACGUAUACGGUGUGACGCCUGCCCGGUGCCGGAAGGUUAAUUGAUGGGGUUAGCGGCAACGCGAAGCUCUUGAUCGAAGCCCCGGUAAACGGCGGCCGUAACUAUAACGGUCCUAAGGUAGCGAAAUUCCUUGUCGGGUAAGUUCCGACCUGCACGAAUGGCGUAAUGAUGGCCAGGCUGUCUCCACCCGAGACUCAGUGAAAUUGAACUCGCUGUGAAGAUGCAGUGUACCCGCGGCAAGACGGAAAGACCCCGUGAACCUUUACUAUAGCUUGACACUGAACACUGGUCCUUGAUGUGUAGGAUAGGUGGGAGGCUUUGAAGCGUGGACGCCAGUCUGCGUGGAGCCAACCUUGAAAUACCACCCUUUAAUGGCUGGUGUUCUAACGUAGACCCGUAAUCCGGGUUGCGGACAGUGUCUGGUGGGUAGUUUGACUGGGGCGGUCUCCUCCCAAAGAGUAACGGAGGAGCACGAAGGUUGGCUAAUCCUGGUCGGACAUCAGGAGGUUAGUGCAAUGGCAUAAGCCAGCUUGACUGCGAGCGUGACGGCGCGAGCAGGUGCGAAAGCAGGUCAUAGUGAUCCGGUGGUUCUGAAUGGAAGGGCCAUCGCUCAACGGAUAAAAGGUACUCCGGGGAUAACAGGCUGAUACCGCCCAAGAGUUCAUAUCGACGGCGGUGUUUGGCACCUCGAUGUCGGCUCAUCACAUCCUGGGGCUGAAGUAGGUCCCAAGGGUAUGGCUGUUCGCCAUUUAAAGUGGUACGCGAGCUGGGUUUAGAACGUCGUGAGACAGUUCGGUCCCUAUCUGCCGUGGGCGCUGGAGAAUUGAGGGGGGCUGCUCCUAGUACGAGAGGACCGGAGUGGACGCAUCACUGGUGUUCGGGUUGUCAUGCCAAUGGCACUGCCCGGUAGCUAAAUGCGGAAGAGAUAAGUGCUGAAAGCAUCUAAGCACGAAACUUGCCCCGAGAUGAGUUCUCCCUGAGACCUUGAGUCUCCUGAAGGAACGUUGAAGACGACGACGUUGAUAGGUCGGGUGUGUAAGCGCAGCGAUGCGUUGAGCUAACCGAUACUAAUGAACCGUGAGGCUUAACCU
rnacentral:rRNA from 1 species